rnacentral:rRNA from 1 species
GACGAACGCUGGCGGCGUGCUUAACACAUGCAAGUCGAACGGAAAGGCCCUGCUUUUGUGGGUUGCUCGAGUGGCGAACGGGUGAGUAACACGUGAGUAUCCUCCCCUUGUCUGUGGGAUAUCUUUAGGAAACUGGGGCUAAUAUCGGGUAUGAUCUCCUGCUGCAUGGGGGUGGUUGGAAAGUUUCGGCGUUUGGGGAUGGACUCGCGGCUUCUCCGCUUGUUGGUGGGGUAGUGGCUUACGAAGUGUGUGACGGGUAGCCGGCCUGAGAGGGUGACCGGGCUCAUUGGGCCUACGGUACGGCCCAGAAUCCUACGGCACGCAGUAGUGGAGAACAUUGCGCAAUGGCGGGAAGCCUGAUGCAAAGACGCCGCGUGCGGGAUGCCGGCCUUUGGGUUAUAAACCGCUUUCGAAUGUGACGAAGCGUGAGUGACGGUAAUGAGUCAAGAAGCAACGGCUAACUACGUG